rnacentral:rRNA from 1 species
UACGGAGGGUGCAAGCGUUAUCCGGAUUCACUGGGUUUAAAGGGUGCGUAGGUGGGCAAGUAAGUCAGUGGUGAAAUCUCCGGGCUUAACCCGGAAACUGCCAUUGAUACUAUUUGUCUUGAAUACUGUGGAGGUCAGCGGAAUAUGUCAUGUAGCGGUGAAAUGCUUAGAUAUGACAUAGAACACCAAUUGCGAAGGCAGCUGGCUACACAAAUAUUGACACUGAGGCACGAAAGCGUGGUGAUCAAACAGG